rnacentral:rRNA from 1 species
UACGUAGGGUGCAAGCGUUGUCCGGAAUUAUUGGGCGUAAAGAGCUCGUAGGCGGUUUGUCGCGUCUGCCGUGAAAGUCCGGGGCUCAACUCCGGAUCUGCAGUGGGUACGGGCAGACUAGAGUGUGGUAGGGGAGACUGGAAUUCCUGGUGUAGCGGUGAAAUGCGCAGAUAUCAGGAGGAACACCGAUGGCGAAGGCAGGUCUCUGGGCCAUAACUGACGCUGAGAAGCGAAAGCAUGGGGAGCGAACAGG